UACGGAGGGUGCAAACGUUGCUCGGAAUCAUUGGGCGUAAAGCGCACGUAGGCGGCCCGAUAAGUCGGAUGUGAAAGCCCUCGGCUCAACCAAGGAAGUGCAUUCGAAACUGUCGGACUUGAGUACGGGAGGGGGUUGCGGAAUUCCCGGUGUAGAGGUGAAAUGCGCAGAUAUCAGGAGGAACACCGGUGGCGAAGGCGGGUCUCUGGGCCGAUACUGACGCUGAGGAGCGAAAGCGUGGGGAGCGAACAGG
rnacentral:rRNA from 1 species